rnacentral:rRNA from 1 species
CCCUUAGAUGUCCUGGGCUGCACGCGCGCUACACUGAUGUGUCCAGUAAACACCUAACCUCUUCCGAAAGGAACGGGUAACCUUUGCAAAGCACAUCGUGAUGGGGACAGAUUAUUGCAAUUAUUAGUCUUGAACGAGGAAUUCCUAGUAAGCACAAGUCAUCAGCUUGUGUUGAUUACGUCCCUGCCCUUUGUACACACCGCCCGUCGCUCCUACCGAUUGAAUGUUCCGGUGAGCUCUUCGGACUGCGCGGUCUGCAGUUUCUGCGUUCCGUGCGGAAAGUUGCGCAAACCUUAACAUUUAGAGGAAGGAGAAGUCGUAACA